UACGGAGGAUUCGAGCGUUAUCCGGAUUUAUUGGGUUUAAAGGGAGCGUAGGCGGGUUGUUAAGUCAGUUGUGAAAGUUUGCGGCUCAACCGUAAAAUUGCAGUUGAUACUGGCAUCCUUGAGUACAGUAGAGGUAGGCGGAAUUCGUGGUGUAGCGGUGAAAUGCUUAGAUAUCACGAAGAACUCCGAUUGCGAGGGCAGCCUGCUGGACUGUAACUGACGCUGAUGCUCGAAAGUGUGGGUAUCAAACAGG
rnacentral:rRNA from 1 species